GCCCUCGUUGCUCGAUGGUCGAGCGCCCUGCUUCGUAUCCAGGGUCUGCCCGGUUCGAUUCCGGGCGAGGGCU
rnacentral:tRNA from 1 species